UACGUAGGGGGCGAGCGUUGUCCGGAUUUAUUGGGCGUAAAGAGCUCGUAGGCGGUUUGGUAAGUUGGAUGUGAAAUCUCCAGGCUCAACUUGGAGGGGUCAUUCGAUACUGCCAUGACUAGAGUUCGGUAGGGGAGUGUGGAAUUCCUGGUGGAGCGGUGAAAUGCGCAGAUAUCAGGAGGAACACCCGUAGCGAAGGCGGCACUCUGGGCCGGAACUGAUGCUGAGGAGCGAAAGCGUGGGGAGCGAACAGG
rnacentral:rRNA from 1 species